UCAGGUGCGAAAGCGUGGGGAGCAAACAGGAUUAGAUACCCUGGUAGUCCACGCCGUAAACGAUGUCUACUAGCCGUUGGGGAGCUUGUCUCCUUAGUGGCGAAGCUAACGCAUUAAGUAGACCGCCUGGGGAGUACGGCCGCAAGGCUGAAACUUAAAGGAAUUGACGGAAGGGCACCACCCAGGAGUGGAGCCUGCGGCUUAAUUUGACUCAACACGGGAAAACUCACCCGGUCCGGACACCGCCAGGAUUGACAGAUUGAAAGCUCUUUCUUGAUUCGGUGGGUGGUGGUGCAUGGCCGUUCUUAGUUGGUGGAGCGAUUUGUCUGGUUGAUUCCGAUAACGAACGAGACUCUGGCCUAUUAACUAGUCCGGCGGCGAAUAUCCCCCGGUGUUCCGUUUGGGGCCCGGGGGCGCCGUCGACGACUUCUUAGAGGGACAAGCGGCGUUCAGCCGUCCGAGAUUGAGCGAUAACAGGUCUGUGAUGCCCUUAGAUGUCCGGGGCCGCACGCGCGCUACACUGAAGGCAUCAGCGGGCCGACCUUCCCCAGCCCGAAAGGGCCGGGAAACCCGUUGAAUCGCCUUCGUGCUAGGGAUCGGGGUUUGCAAUUGUUCCCCGUGAACGAGGAAUUCCCAGUAGGGGCGAGUCAUCAGCCGGCCCCGAUUACGUCCCUGCCCUUUGUACACACCGCCCGUCGCUACUAUCGAUUGAGCAGUUUAGUGAGGGCCUCGGAUCGGUGCAUGGCGGUCGCCGAGGGCGGCUGGUCCGUCCCCGGCCUGCCGCGCCGAGAAGACGCCCGAACUCGGCCGUUUGGAGAAAGUAAAAGUCGUAACAAGGU
rnacentral:rRNA from 1 species